rnacentral:hammerhead_ribozyme from 1 species
GUACUGAUGAAGAGUCCCAAACUAGGCGAACGAAACAGCUGUCCAGUAC